UUACUCAUUAUUUAUAAAUAAACUAUAUAUAAUAUCAAUAUAAAAUAAAAUAAUAAAGAAUAAAAACCCUAAAGCUUCGCUCCUUCUCCCAGUUCUUCAUGCUUCACCGCCUCUCACCCUCUUCGUCUCUUUCCCGUUCCAGAUUUCGGUGACCCGAUCUUUCUCAUCCUCACACCCUCUCCAAUCGUCCGUUCAUGCUCAAUCAUUCAAUUUGAUAACCCGAUCUGAAACUCAACCCAGUUGAGAACUAAACCAAUCUGAAACCUAAUGAAAGCGAAGGGCAGGACGAAUGCAAAAUUAUCGAUGGUUGGUGGAUUUUCUGAAAAUUGAUUCUCACCACUCAUUCGAUUCAAUUUCUCAUACGACAGGGGGACAUGAGAGAGAUCGAGAUGCACAUGAAUCAUGAUAUGUUCGCAAUCCUUCAAUCUCCAAGUUUCCCUAAAUUGUUUGGAUUUUGAUUUAUUUGACUAAACUACAAGAUCUGCAGGUGGCAGAGUUUUUCGAUAAUAUUUUCUGUUGUUUUUGCAAGUUUCAGUGACGAUAGACGAUGUUCAGGUGACAUAGGGUGCAUUGGUGGAGGUUGCAGAGACGACGGGUUGUGUUGGCGAUGAUGAAUGGAAGUGGUGGCAAAGAUAGAGGUUUGAGAAUAGAGCUUGAAAUCCAGUUUGGUUUUCAAAGCCUUGUGUUGUGUAUGUAAUCAUCGGAAACACAAAGGGACAGAGGUGUACGGCAUGGGACGGUGGUUGGGGAAGGAGGGGGUGUCAAUGAUGAAGUUCCUGAAGCAAUGAGGAGGAAGAAAAGAACGAGUGGGACCCACACGUAUAAAAAAUCUUAUAAUAAUUUAGUUAUUAAUAAACGAUAAGUUAAAAUAAUGCAUAAGGGUAUAGUGGUCUUUUCAUGUUGGUUGGGGACCGAAAUCGUAACAAACACAAACAGCAUGGACGAUCCGAGUUAAAAAUUUUUUCUAGGAACCAACCGUGCAGACUACCCAAAACCACAGUGACCAUUCGUGUAAAUUACCCAACAAUAAAAGAAAUUUUUUUUAAAGAAAAUACAAAAUAAAUACAAUAGGGUAAUUUAGUCAUUUUAAGUUGGUCAGGACCGGCGGAUGACGUAACAAAAACAUAAAAUAGGGAUCGUACGAAUAAAAAAAUAA